GAAUGCCUGUCAUUAGACAGCCAACACUUCCUGUCCCUUCAAAAUACGAGUUCAACCUUCGAACCAAUAGCUGCCUAUACCGUGCCAAGUCAGCAGAUGGCGAUGUGCGUCUUUCGGGCGAUGCUGCUAAUGUGACGUAAAUUCCAGUGGACGGGACCAGAUGCUUCUUCAACAACAACAGCUAUCGUUAGUUAUUAACUACAUCGGUCUGCUUGACGGAGAAAGAGGGUCUGUGGCUGAACAUUGUCGUGAAGGAAGAGGUUGAUGUCACAAAAAAAGAAGUAGAGGGCGAGGCUGUGACAGUGAAAGAGGAAGACGCGUUCAGAAUUAAAGACGAGGAGGAUGUAGCCAUGAAAGAGGCUACUGCAGUUCAUGGAGUGAAGAAGGAAGGGGAGAUUACUGUCACAUUGACAGAGGAGACAGGAUAUCUGAAUAACACUAGAGAGGGACCUGACUCUCGCCAUGACAGCAGGAAGAGUCCUUCAGGGGAACCAGACCCAGAGACACCCAAACCACCGAGAUGACACCACUGUUCUCAGUGUGGAAAGAGUUUUGCCAAGUUAGGGAGCCUGAAAAAACACGAGAGAACACACACAGGAGAAAAGCCUCACCACUGCGCCCCGUGUGGAAAAAGUUUUAUUUGGUUAUGUGACCUGAAAAGGCAUGAGAGGACACACACAGGAGAAAAACCUUUCCAAUGUUCCCAGUGUGGAAAGAGUUUUAACGAUGUAGGGUACUUAUUAAUACAUCAAAGAAUACACUCUGGAGAGAAGCGUUACUGCUGCUCAAAAUGUGGGACAACUUUUACCUGGUUAGGGAGCCUGAAAACGCAUGUGAGGGGACACACAGGAGAAAAGCCUUUCCAAUGUUCCCACUGUGGAAUGUGUUUUACCCAGGUAGGGGCCCUAAAUAAGCACAAGAGGACACACAUAGGAGAGAAGCCCUUCCAAUGUUCUCUGUGUGGAAAUAGUUUUACUAAGUUAGGGGGCCUGUAUAGGCAUGACAGGGCACACACAGAAGGGGCUAAGACCUACCACUGCUCCCUGUGUGGAAAUAUAUUUAGCCGGUUACGGUAUCUGAGCGCAUGAAAGGAUACAUACACAGGAGGAGAAGACCUACCACUGCUCUCAUUGUGAAAAUACAUUUUCCCGGUUAGAGGACCUGAAAUCACAUGAGAGAAUAGAAAGGCUGUGUUCAGACUUGUGUUUUUGACUUGAGAAUGUGUUUUUGUUUAUGCCUUAUGAAAUCAUAUUGUAUAUUUGAAAGCUUGCUUGAAAAUAGGCUUAUUUUUGUAUUGUUUUGGACAUGAUUAUAUAUAAAUUCAGAUAUAUUAAUUUUGUAUUAUGAUAUAUUGAAUACAAGAAUAAACCCCUUAGAUGUUCAUUUUAUGAUUUGGAUAUUUUAAAAUGUAAAUUGUUAUUUAAAUAACAACUUGCACAGGGCUUGGCUAUUCUAAGCCAGAAGGCUGAUAGGCUCCUGUUCCUAUCUCCUAUUUCUGUAGGUUGAGGCAGCUUGAUGUACAAGUACACCACAUGGACAGGACGUUAAUUUAUACAAUUAUUAUAUAGAUUAAUGUUAUUUUGCAUUUAUUAAUUCUAACCUUGAAAACCUCUUGAAUUGAAAAUAUGAUUUGGAUAUUGCUAAUUUGAUUGGAUAAAUUGUUUGGAUGUUGAAAAAUGUAUUUGAUAAUGAUUUGGAUAUUUCUAAAUCUAAAUGGUUAAAUCAAUGAAUAGUGUGCAUUUCUUGUCAAUGUAUUUUAUUGAGUUAAUUUGUGUAUUCGUCGUCAAGCUAAAUGUGUAUGAAAAUGUGAUGUUGUUCUGAGAACAUUGAUAAGUUGUUGAAAUGAAUGUUCUCAUCAGUAUUAUUAUACCAUGUCAGAGAAAAUUCUCACUCAUUUAAAGUCUGCACUAAUCAAUACAUGCUUCUUUUUGUA